rnacentral:misc_RNA from 1 species
GAUGAAGAACGUAGCGAAAUGCGAUACUUGGUGUGAAUUGCAGAAUCCCGUGAACCAUCGAGUCUUUGAACGCAAGUUGCGCCCGAAGCCAUUAGGCCGAGGGCACGCCUGCCUGGGCGUCACACGUCGUUGCCCCCCCAUCUACUCCUUCGGGAUUGCGGGGGGCGGAUGAUGGCCUCCCGUGCGCCUCGUCGCGCGGUUGGCAUAAAUGCCAAGUCCUCGGCGACGCACGCCACGACAAUCGGUGGUUGCGAAACCUCGGUUGCCCGUCGUGUUCGGUCGUCGCGCAUCGAGGGCUCGAAAAAAUUGCCGGGCUCCGGCUCGACUUUCAACGCGACCCCAGGUCAGGCGGGGUUACCCGCUGAAUUUAAGCAUAUCAAUAAGCGGAGGA